rnacentral:rRNA from 1 species
AUGGCGGCGUCGGCGGCGGCGGUGAUGGAGGAGCUGCGGGGCAGCUUCAGGGAGGGGCGGACGCGGCCGGCCGAGUGGCGGACGGCGCAGCUCAGGGCGCUCGUCAGGAUGAUCGAGGAGAAGGAGGACGACAUCAGCGACGCGCUCCACGCCGACCUCGCCAAGCCGCGCAUGGAGGCCUACCUCCACGAGAUAUCGCUGGCGAAAGGGGCGUGUAUGUUUGCCCUCAAGGGGCUCAAGAAUUGGAUGAAGCCCGACAAGGUACCUUCUGCCAUAACUACAUUCCCAUCCACUGCUCAAAUCGUGCCGGAGCCCCUGGGUGUCGUUCUCGUCAUAUCAGCCUGGAACUAUCCUUUCUUGCUAUCCAUCGAGCCUGUCAUUGGAGCAAUUGCUGCUGGGAAUGCUGUUGUGCUGAAGCCAUCAGAACUUGCGCCAGCAACAUCGUCAUUGUUCGCGAAGCUGCUACCAGAGUACGUCGAUAGCUCGUGUAUAAAAGUUGUGGAGGGAGGUGUCACUGAAACAGGUGCACUCUUACAACAAAAAUGGGAUAAGAUCUUCUACACAGGAAAUGGUAAUGUAGCCCGCGUAGUGUUGGCAGCAGCUGCGAAGCAUCUAACCCCUGUUGCUCUGGAGCUCGGUGGAAAAUGCCCUGUUAUUGUUGACUCUAACGUCGAUCUGCAUGUUGCUGCUAAGAGGAUUGCUGUUGGUAAAUGGGGCUGUAACAAUGGCCAGGCAUGCAUUGCUCCCGAUUACAUCAUAACGACAAAAGCUUUCGUUACAGAACUGGUCGACUCUUUGAAAAGAGUCUUGGAAAGGUUCUAUGGGGAGGAUCCGUUGCAAUCGGCGGACCUGUCUCGUAUUGUGAGUAUUAGCCAUUUCGAACGAUUAGCGAAGUUGAUAGAGGACAAGGAAGUUGCCACCAAGAUUCAGCUCGGUGGUCAGACAGAUCAGGAGCAACUAAAAAUAGCUCCUACGGUGUUGGUAGAUGUUCCUCUUGAUACAGAACUUAUGACAGGGGAAAUAUUUGGCCCCAUGCUUCCAAUUAUAACGGUCGACAAGAUUGAAGAAAGCAUCACACACAUCAACGCCGGGGCGAAGCCACUGGCGGCCUACCUCUUCACCAAGGACAAGAAACUGCAACAAGAUUUCGUCUCAAACGUCUCGGCAGGAGGCAUGCUCGUCAACGACGUCGCCCUACACCUGACGAACCCACAUUUGCCGUUCGGUGGCGUGGGCGACAGCGGCACGGGGUCGUACCAUGGCAAGUUCAGCUUCGACUGCUUCACCCACAGAAAGGCAGUGCUGAUCCGCGGGUUCGGUGGCGAGGCGAACGCAAGGUACCCACCCUACACGGCAGAGAAACAGAGGAUCUUGAGGGGCCUCAUCAAGGGCAGCUUCUUUGCGCUGAUCCUUGCGCUCCUGGGGUUCCCAAGGGAGAAGCGUUAG